GCAGCUGACAGAUGGUUGCCCGUCUGGACCCGCCGUGUGUUGACGCGGCGGCAUGCUGACUGGGCACGACGGCGGCGGCGGGAGGAGGAGGAGGAAGAUGGCUGUGGCGUCAUGGCAACGGCGGAGUGACCUUCACGGCCGAAGCUCCCCGCUCGGCUCGGACUUUACACUCAGUGUUGGUGCCUCGCCGUGUCCUACCUGCUCCAGCUCCUCCAGCCGUUUCUCCAGACUUGCCGGCGCGGCGUCUCUGACGUGGUGGCCGUGGCGAUGCCGGCUCUCCUCGUCCAUGCUGCUGCAGCUGUGCCCACGCACACAUACGCACACAGACACACACAAUAGGGUGAGCGCACCUGCUGCUUGAAUGCCAUUCCUUUCAUGAAAGGCGUGAAUCACAAAGUGGUGAAAGGAACAGGUGGAGGGGGGGGGGGCGUUCAAUGAGGCGAGCGUUAUCGCCUUUGUCCAAGAGCUUUGCCAUGAAGCAAUCCUUGGCAUAUCGGGACGGCCGAGCGAGAGGGGCGGAAGGUUCAUUUUAUCACCAUUGCCUCCAAAGUCAACAAUACUGCAAACAAGAGCAGCCGCUCAAAGUGGAUCUAAUUCCACAGCGAAACGAUAACACCAGAGAUUUUUUUUGCUUCCAUUCAUUGUGCAACUCCUUCUAGUGUGCACAACUUGGCCGCCAGGGGGCAGUAUAAUAGAGACAAAUGCUCCUGUUUAUGCCUUUUUGCAUUGUCCGCUAACGUUGACAUCUGACUUUUCAUGUUGACAUUUGACUAAUUACUAUGGAUUUAUUUAUGCAAUUUGGCUGCUUAAUAUAUUGCCCGACGUCUGUCUCGGCCUUGCAAUUCUUGCUGCUGCUGCUGCUGCCGCUGCUGUUCACUCUGUCAUUUCAUCAAAUGUCAAAGCAAUCUGGACUCCAGUGAACUGGCGCAUUUGUCCGGCCCAAACCUUUCCAAGCACAUCAAUUGCUCCCGGCGCUACCGGUGAGAGGGUCGGGGUGAGCGAGGGGGGGGGGGGGGGGGGGGGGGACGAGGCGGGGGCUCCAGAUGGCGCCAUGUCAACUGACUUUCAAAGCGGCCAUCGGGUAAAAAAAAAAGAAAUCAACAGAGAGGGGAAAAAAACCCCAAAAAAAACUCUUACCUUUUGGUGCGGCUAUUCACAGAUCUUGCCAGGUUCUCCUGAAAUUAGAAACAAAACAUGAGCUGAAGCAGCUUUUGUGAGGCUAACACCAUUUGCAAAAACAGUUCCAGAACAGGAACAAUGAGGGACAAGCAAGUCAUCAAGACGGGCUCAGGAAAAAAAA